rnacentral:rRNA from 4 species
GGGUUGUGAGGUUAAGCGACUAAGCGUACACGGUGGAUGCCCUGGCAGUCAGAGGCGAUGAAGGACGUGCUAAUCUGCGAAAAGCGUCGGUAAGGUGAUAUGAACCGUUACAGCCGGCGAUGUCCGAAUGGGGAAACCCAGUGCAAUUCGUUGCACUAUCGUUAACUGAAUACAUAGGUUAACGAGGCGAACCGGGGGAACUGAAACAUCUAAGUACCCCGAGGAAAAGAAAUCAACCGAGAUUCCCCCAGUAGCGGCGAGCGAACGGGGAGCAGCCCAGAGUCUGAAUCAGCUUGUGUGUUAGUGGAACGGUCUGGAAAGUCCGACGGUACAGGGUGAUAGUCCCGUACACCAAAAUGCACAGGCUGUGAACUCGAAGAGUAGGGCGGGACACGUGGUAUCCUGUCUGAAUAUGGGGGGACCAUCCUCCAAGGCUAAAUACUCCUGACUGACCGAUAGUGAACCAGUACCGUGAGGGAAAGGCGAAAAGAACCCCGGCGAGGGGAGUGAAAAAGAACCUGAAACCGUGUACGUACAAGCAGUGGGAGCACCUUCGGGUGUGACUGCGUACCUUUUGUAUAAUGGGUCAGCGACUUAUAUUCUGUAGCAAGGUUAACCGUAUAGGGGAGCCGCAGGGAAACCGAGUCUUAACUGGGCGUUAAGUUGCAGGGUAUAGACCCGAAACCCGGUGAUCUAGCCAUGGGCAGGUUGAAGGUUGGGUAACACUAACUGGAGGACCGAACCGACUAAUGUUGAAAAAUUAGCGGAUGACUUGUGGCUGGGGGUGAAAGGCCAAUCAAACCGGGAGAUAGCUGGUUCUCCCCGAAAGCUAUUUAGGUAGCGCCUCGUGAACUCAUCUUCGGGGGUAGAGCACUGUUUCGGCUAGGGGGUCAUCCCGACUUACCAACCCGAUGCAAACUACGAAUACCGAAGAAUGUUAUCACGGGAGACACACGGCGGGUGCUAACGUCCGUCGUGAAGAGGGAAACAACCCAGACCGCCAGCUAAGGUCCCAAAGUCAUGGUUAAGUGGGAAACGAUGUGGGAAGGCACAGACAGCCAGGAUGUUGGCUUAGAAGCAGCCAUCAUUUAAAGAAAGCGUAAUAGCUCACUGGUCGAGUCGGCCUGCGCGGAAGAUGUAACGGGGCUAAACCAUGCACCGAAGCUGCGGCAGCGACACUAUGUGUUGUUGGGUAGGGGAGCGUUCUGUAAGCCUGCGAAGGUGUGCUGUGAGGCAUGCUGGAGGUAUCAGAAGUGCGAAUGCUGACAUAAGUAACGAUAAAGCGGGUGAAAAGCCCGCUCGCCGGAAGACCAAGGGUUCCUGUCCAACGUUAAUCGGGGCAGGGUGAGUCGACCCCUAAGGCGAGGCCGAAAGGCGUAGUCGAUGGGAAACAGGUUAAUAUUCCUGUACUUGGUGUUACUGCGAAGGGGGGACGGAGAAGGCUAUGUUAGCCGGGCGACGGUUGUCCCGGUUUAAGCAUGUAGGCUGAUUGUCCAGGCAAAUCCGGAUAAUCAAGGCUGAGGUGUGAUGACGAGGCACUACGGUGCUGAAGUAACAAAUGCCCUGCUUCCAGGAAAAGCCUCUAAGCAUCAGGUAACAUCAAAUCGUACCCCAAACCGACACAGGUGGUCAGGUAGAGAAUACCAAGGCGCUUGAGAGAACUCGGGUGAAGGAACUAGGCAAAAUGGUGCCGUAACUUCGGGAGAAGGCACGCUGGUGUGUAGGUGAAGUCCCUGCGGAUGGAGCUGAGACCAGUCGAAGAUACCAGCUGGCUGCAACUGUUUAUUAAAAACACAGCACUGUGCAAACACGAAAGUGGACGUAUACGGUGUGACGCCUGCCCGGUGCCGGAAGGUUAAUUGAUGGGGUUAUCCGUAAGGAGAAGCUCUUGAUCGAAGCCCCGGUAAACGGCGGCCGUAACUAUAACGGUCCUAAGGUAGCGAAAUUCCUUGUCGGGUAAGUUCCGACCUGCACGAAUGGCGUAAUGAUGGCCAGGCUGUCUCCACCCGAGACUCAGUGAAAUUGAACUCGCUGUGAAGAUGCAGUGUACCCGCGGCAAGACGGAAAGACCCCGUGAACCUUUACUAUAGCUUGACACUGAACAUUGAGCCUUGAUGUGUAGGAUAGGUGGGAGGCUUUGAAGCGUGGACGCCAGUCUGCGUGGAGCCAACCUUGAAAUACCACCCUUUAAUGUUUGAUGUUCUAACGUUGGCCCCUGACCGGGGUUGCGGACAGUGUCUGGUGGGUAGUUUGACUGGGGCGGUCUCCUCCCAAAGCGUAACGGAGGAGCACGAAGGUUAGCUAAUCCUGGUCGGACAUCAGGAGGUUAGUGCAAUGGCAUAAGCUAGCUUGACUGCGAGCGUGACGGCGCGAGCAGGUGCGAAAGCAGGUCAUAGUGAUCCGGUGGUUCUGAAUGGAAGGGCCAUCGCUCAACGGAUAAAAGGUACUCCGGGGAUAACAGGCUGAUACCGCCCAAGAGUUCAUAUCGACGGCGGUGUUUGGCACCUCGAUGUCGGCUCAUCACAUCCUGGGGCUGAAGUAGGUCCCAAGGGUAUGGCUGUUCGCCAUUUAAAGUGGUACGCGAGCUGGGUUUAGAACGUCGUGAGACAGUUCGGUCCCUAUCUGCCGUGGGCGCUGGAGAAUUGAGGGGGGCUGCUCCUAGUACGAGAGGACCGGAGUGGACGCAUCACUGGUGUUCGGGUUGUCAUGCCAAUGGCACUGCCCGGUAGCUAAAUGCGGAAGAGAUAAGUGCUGAAAGCAUCUAAGCACGAAACUUGCCCCGAGAUGAGUUCUCCCUGAGACUAUAAGUCUCCUGAAGGAACGUUGAAGACGACGACGUUGAUAGGCCGGGUGUGUAAGCGCAGCGAUGCGUUGAGCUAACCGGUACUAAUGAACCGUGAGGCUUAACCUUACAACGCCGAAG